rnacentral:rRNA from 1 species
GACAGAGGGUGCAAACGUUGUUCGGAAUUACUGGGCGUAAAGCGCGUGUAGGCGGCUGCGCAAGUCGGAUGUGAAAUCCCGUGGCUCAACCACGGAAGUGCACCCGAAACUGCGUAGCUUGAGUCUCGGAGAGGAAGGUGGAAUGCUUGGUGUAGAGGUGAAAUGCGUAGAUAUGUGGAGGAACACCGAUGGCGAAGGCAGCCCCCCUGGGUUAACACUGACGCUCAUGCACGAAAGCGUGGGGAGCAAACAGG